rnacentral:tRNA from 1 species
GCCGCACUAGCUCAGCUGGUAGAGCACGUCAUUCGUAAUGAUGGGGUCGGGGGUUCGAAUCCCUCGUGCGGCACCA